rnacentral:rRNA from 1 species
UCCUCCCUCUUUCUUCGUGCUUAACACAUGCAAGUCGAACGGAAAGGCCCUGCUUUUGUGGGGCGCUCGAGUGGCGAACGGGUGAGUAACACGUGAGUAACCUGCCCUUGACUUUGGGAUAACUUCAGGAAACUGGGGCUAAUACCGGAUAGGAGCUCCUGCUGCAUGGUGGGGGUUGGAAAGUUUCGGCGGUUGGGGAUGGACUCGCGGCUUAUCAGCUUGUUGGUGGGGUAGUGGCUUACCAAGGCUUUGACGGGUAGCCGGCCUGAGAGGGUGACCGGCCACAUUGGGACUGAGAUACGGCGCAGACUCCUACGGGAGGCAGCAGUGGGGAAUAUUGCACAAUGGGCGGAAGCCUGAUGCAGCAACGCCGCGUGCGGGAUGACGGCCUUCGGGUUGUAAACCGCUUUCGCCUGUGACGAAGCGUGAGUGACGGUAAUGGGUAAAGAAGCACCGGCUAACUACGUG